UCAGGUAAGUCAGUGGUGAAAGCCCAUCGCUCAACGGUGGAACGGCCAUUGAUACUGUCUGACUUGAAUUAUUAGGAAGUAACUAGAAUAUGUAGUGUAGCGGUGAAAUGCUUAGAGAUUACAUGGAAUACCAAUUGCGAAGGCAGGUUACUACUAAUAUAUUGACGCUGAUGGACGAAAGCGUGGGUAGCGAACAGGAUUAGAUACCCUGGUAGUCCACGCCGUAAACGAUGGAUACUAGCUGUUGGGAGCAAUCUCAGUGGCUAAGCGAAAGUGAUAAGUAUCCCACCUGGGGAGUACGAACGCAAGUUUGAAACUCAAAGGAAUUGACGGGGGCCCGCACAAGCGGUGGAGCAUGUGGUUUAAUUCGAUGAUACGCGAGGAACCUUACCAAGGCUUAAAUGUAGAUUGACCGGUUUGGAAACAGACUUUUCGCAAGACAAUUUACAAGGUGCUGCAUGGUUGUCGUCAGCUCGUGCCGUGAGGUGUCAGGUUAAGUCCCGCAACGAGCGCAACCCUUGUCAUUAGUUGCUACAUUUAGUUGGGCACUCUAAUGAGACUGCCGGUGACAAGCCGGAGGAAGGUGGGGAUGACGUCAAGUCCUCAUGGCCCUUAUAGGUGGGGCUACACACGUCAUACAAUGGCUGGUACAAAGGGUUGCCAACCCGCGAGGGGGAGCUAAUCCCACAAAGCCAGUCGUAGUCCGGAUCGUAGUCUGCAACUCGACUACGUGAAGUCGGAAUCGCUAGUAAUCGUGGAUCAGAAUGUCACGGUGAAUACGUUCCCGGGUCUUGCACACACCGCCCGUC
rnacentral:rRNA from 1 species